AUAAAAACAAGGCAUGCAUUUACUGAGAAACAUCUGUUUAGCACUGAUGUUUACUUCUCCUCUGGCCCAACUGAAUGGGUUCUGAAAGAGCUGACUCGUGAUUGCACGACUUCUCAAAUGCUUUUCCAUGGUCACGGGAAUCUGGAGAAGUCCUUGGUGACUGGAAGCUGUUCCAGUUUUGAAGAAGGAAUGAAUAACAUUUUACCAAGAAGACUAAUGGACAAUUCUUCAGAGACAACGAAGGACCUAAAUAAUGAGUGUCUUCAGUGAAGCAUGUUUAUCUAUAAAAGUGCAGUUCCUCGAAGGGCACCAGACAUGCUGCUUCACUUUGAGUGAUCUUUGCAAUUUCCCACUAAAGAAGUUCUGUGACCAAACACACAACUCUGAUCAUAUCUUCAAAGUUUUGUUUGGAGGCAUACAGAGAAGCAAAUCCAAAAGCCUCAUUGGAUGGGAAUGAGGGAUGGUGGAAAAAGACUACUCUGUCUACAACAUUUAUAACCACCUGGUAAAACCUCAGCUUUUGUCAAUGAUACCUGCAACUCAGAGGGAACAGAAGGAAAACAAGACAAUUUGUGCACUGUCAUAGAAUCAUAGAAUCACAGAAUGGU